rnacentral:misc_RNA from 1 species
UCCGGAUUAGCUCCGGCAGUCCCACUAGAGUGCCCAACUUAAUGCUGGCAACUAAUGGCGAGGGUUGCGCUCGUUGCGGGACUUAACCCAACAUCUCACGACACGAGCUGACGACAACCAUGCACCACCUGUGUAGAACCCCGAAGGACACCAUAUCUCUAUGGCUUUUCUCUACAUGUCAAGCCCAGGUAAGGUUCUUCGCGUUGCUUCGAAUUAAGCCACAUGCUCCGCCGCUUGUGCGGGCCCCCGUCAAUUCCUUUGAGUUUUAGCCUUGCGGCCGUACUCCCCAGGCGGGGCACUUAAUGCGUUAGCUGCGGCACGGAACCCGUUGAUAAGGCCCCACACCUAGUGCCCAACGUUUACAGCGUGGACUAC